GACGAACGCUGGCGGCGUGCUUAACACAUGCAAGUCGAACGGUGAACGAGGGAGCUUGCUCCCUCCGGAUCAGUGGCGAACGGGUGAGUAACACGUGAGCAAUCUGCCCCGAACUCUGGGAUAAGCGUUGGAAACGACGUCUAAUACCGGAUACGACGCGGGAGGGCAUCCUCUCCGCGUGGAAAGAACUUCGGUUCGGGAUGAGCUCGCGGCCUAUCAGCUUGUUGGUGAGGUACCGGCUCACCAAGGCGAUGACGGGUAGCCGGCCUGAGAGGGUGACCGGCCACACUGGGAAUGAGACACGGCCCAGAGUCCUACGGGAGGCAGCAGUGGGGAAUAUUGCACAAUGGGCGCAAGACUGAUGCAGCAACGCCGCGUGAGGGACGACGGCCUUCGGGUUGUAAACCUCUUUUAGCAGGGAAGAAGCGAAAGUGACGGUACCUGCAGAAAAAGCUCCGGCUAACUACGUG
rnacentral:rRNA from 1 species